rnacentral:rRNA from 1 species
CGUGCCUAACACAUGCAAUCGAGCGAUCUUCUUCGGAAGGGAGCGGCGGACGGGUGAGUAACGCGUGGGUAACCUGCCCUGUACACACGGAUAACAUACCGAAAGGUAUGCUAAUACGGGAUAACAUAAGAAAGUCGCAUGGAUUUCUUAUCGAAGCUUUUGCGGUACAGGAUGGACCCGCGUCUGAUUAGCUAGUUGGUAAGGUAACGGCUUACCAAGGCGACGAUCAGUAGCCGACCUGAGAGGGUGAUCGGCCACAUUGGAACUGAGACACGGUCCAAACUCCUACGGGAGGCAGCAGUGGGGAAUAUUGCACAAUGGGCGAAAGCCUGAUGCAGCAACGCCGCGUGAGCGAUGAAGGCCUUCGGGUCGUAAAGCUCUGUCCUCAAGGAAGAUAAUGAUGGUACUUGAGGAGGAAGCCCCGGCUAACUACGUGCCAGCAGCCGCGGUAAUACGUAGGGGGCUAGCGUUAUCCGGAAUUACUGGGCGUAAAGGGUGCGUAGGCGGUCUUUCAAGUCAGAAGUGAAAGGCUACGGCUCAACCGUAGUAAGCUUUUGAAACUGUAAGACUUGAGUGCAGGAGAGGAGAGUGGAAUUCCUAGUGUAGCGGUGAAAUGCGUAGAUAUUAGGAGGAACACCAGUUGCGAAGGCGGCUCUCUGGACUGUAACUGACGCUGAGGCACGAAAGCGUGGGGAGCAAACAGG